GCAGCAGCCGCGGUAAUACAGAGGGUGCGAGCGUUAAUCGGAUUUACUGGGCGUAAAGCGUGCGUAGGCGGCUUUUUAAGUCGGAUGUGAAAUCCCUGAGCUUAACUUAGGAAUUGCAUUCGAUACUGGGAAGCUAGAGUAUGGGAGAGGAUGGUAGAAUUCCAGGUGUAGCGGUGAAAUGCGUAGAGAUCUGGAGGAAUACCGAUGGCGAAGGCAGCCAUCUGGCCUAAUACUGACGCUGAGGUACGAAAGCAUGGGGAGCAAACAGGAUUAGAUACCCGAGUAGUCCCUGUCUCUUAUAC
rnacentral:rRNA from 1 species